UUCUAAGAAGUUCAAACAAAAACCCAAUGCUCAACCUUUUGCUUGUGUGGGCAAUGACAUUUGGCGUUUUCUCCCUUCGCUCCCAUCUUCUUUUCUUGUUCUUUUGCUCUUUACUCUAUAAUUUUCCCUAACCGUCACCGCUUCUUGAACAAAAAGCCCAACUCAGCAUUCUCUGACUUUUUUCUCUAGAUGUUUCUGCUCUCCUUCUCUAUAAAGAAAGAAACGUUUGCUAUUUUUGAGAUACCCCGAAGUGAAAGGAGAAGUGCAUUAACGACUGGUAAGCAGGUAGCAACGGCCAAGCUACCAAAUUACCCGAAGUUAAAAGUGAAGUUUUCGAGCAGUGGACAGGCUGGAAUUCAGCUUGUCGAGUCUCAACAUAAGCUGUCUUUUGAAGCUGGUGACAACAUAGAGGUUCUUUGUCAGGAUAGUGGCAUGAGAGGCUGCUGGUUCAGGUGUAAGAUCUUACGAGUAUCAGAAAAACGUUUGAAAGUUCAAUAUGAUGACAUCCUGGAUUGUGAUGGUCCUGAAAAGCUCAAGGAAUGGAUUCCUUCAUACAGAGUUGCAAAUCCUGAUAAAUUGGGCACGAGAUGCACAGGACGCCUCACAGUUCGGCCCAGGCCUCUAGAGGACACUACCACAUUGUAUUUUGACUCCUGAAAUAUUCUUUAACUCUUACCUUAGAGCUGUGCUAAGAAGUUUGAAAUAAAAACGAAAAGCUCAACCUUUUGCUUGUGUUGGCAAUGCCAUUCGUCUUGAUUUCCCCAACCAUCACUGCUUGCAGAACAACUCAGCAUUCUCUGGCUUUUUCCUCCAGCUGUAUCUGCUAUGUUUCUCCAUAAAGCAACAAGCAUUUGCUAUUUCGAGGGAUCUAAAAAUGCGGAAACCGCUGGUGCACGGUUGGACCAACAAUGGACUGUAUGAGUGGCCUAUUUUCCAUUCCUAAGCUCACAUGACCGCCACAUCUACUCCUCUCACUACUUGGCAUCAACCUUUGGGCCAUCCCCACUUUAGAGUUUUUAGGUUACUUUAAAUAAAUUCUUGCUACCGUUUCAUGAGCAAGACAAACCUUUUUAUUGUAAUUCUUGCUUAUCUAAUAAAGCUCAUCGGCAUCCUUUUACUCAAUUAUCAUUGUGUAGCUCUAAACCGCUUCAAAUAAUCUUUAGUGAUUUAUGGG